AUUGAACGCUGGCGGCAUGCCUAACACAUGCAAGUCGAGCGAGCGGCGGACGGGAGAGAAAUGUACGGGCACCCGCCUGGUGGAGGGGUAUAAGCACUGGAAACGGAAGCUAAAACCGCACACCAUGGGAGGAACCUAUAUGGGAUUAGGGUGUAGGUGUGGUAACGGCUCACCUAGGUGACGAGCCCUAGCUGGUCUGAGAGGAUGCUCAGCCACACUGGGACUGAGACACGGCCCAGACUCCUACGGGAGGCAGCAGUGGGGAAUAUUGGACAAUGGGCGCAAGCCUGAUGCAGCCAUGCCGCGUGUAUGAAGAAGGCCUUCGGGUUGUAAAGUACUUUCAGUCGGGAGGCGUUACCGGCAGAAGAAGCACCGGCUAACUCCGUGCCAGCAGCCGCGGUAAUUC
rnacentral:rRNA from 1 species